GGGGGGAGUGUUACACGGAGGGGGAGCCAAGUCAGGGCAAGGAUUGUUGCCGAAUAUUUCAGCUGAAUGAUCACACAAACUGUGGACGACAACAACGGCAGAGAUCGCAGCCCCCUUCCCCUUCCCAGUCCCCCUCCCCUUCUCAAUCCCCCUCCCCUUCCCAGUCCCCCUCCCCUUCUCAAUCCCCCUCCCCUUCCCAGUCCACAUCAGCUUCCCACGCCCCUUCAGCUUCCCAGGCCCCCUCAACUUCCCACUCCCCCUCAGCUUCCCAGUCCCCCUCAGCUUCCCAGUCCCCCUCAGCUUCCCAGUCCCCCUCAGCUUCCCAGUCCCCCUCAGCUUCCAACGCCCCCUCAGCUUCCCAGGCCCACUCCACUUUCCACUCCCCUUCUCACCCCACCUCUCCAUCUCUUUCUGUGACCCCUUCUCCUCCUUCCCAUACCCCUUCUCCUUCCACUUCAAAAUCCCCUUCUCAGCCCCCCUCACCCUCUAUUGCCUUAACUUUCUCUCCGCACCCCUCGCCCUCACAAUCAGACCCACCCUCUGAAAAAAAAUCCCCAAUCCAGCCUCCUUCCCCCAUCCAGCCUCCUUCCCCCAUCCCUCCUCCUUCCCCAAUCCCUCCUCCUUCCC